GUAAUGGUUUCGACAGGGAUUAUGAAGCUGGAGAAGCGAGUCGCACGGGAUGCGUCAAAUUCCACAAUUAAAAUUAAACGCUAACAAUAAUAAAUUAGCUUACGCUGCCUAGGCGGCGUUGUCUGCUCUGAGGCACCUACACCACAGAAUCCAGGCAUCAAACAUGUAGGAAACGGUAUAUACAAAGCUUUGCGUAUAUAGACGUAUUAUGAAGCUACUAAAGCACUUACGGUGUUCAUGCUGGAAGUGUGGAGGGAAUGUCAAAGCAUGAACUACACUCGUAGAAGGACAGGGGAUUGGUUUUUGGACACGGGUUCGACUCCCGUCUAGUC
rnacentral:tmRNA from 1 species